GACGGGGGCCCGCACAAGCGGAGGAACAUGUGGUUUAAUUCGAUGAUACGCGAGGAACCUUACCCGGGCUUGAAUUGCAGGAGAACGAUACAGAGGUGUUGAGGUCCUUCGGGACUCCUGUGAAGGUGCUGCAUGGUUGUCGUCAGCUCGUGCCGUGAGGUGUCGGCUUAAGUGCCAUAACGAGCGCAACCCUUGCUGUCAGUUGCCAUCAGGUAGAGCUGGGCACUCUGGCGGGACUGCCAUCGCAAGAUGUGAGGAAGGUGGGGAUGACGUCAAAUCAGCACGGCCCUUACGUCCGGGGCUACACACGUGUUACAAUGGGGGGUACAGAAUGUUGCUUACGGGCGACCGUUGGCGGAUCAUCAAAUCCCCUCUCAGUUCGGACUGGAGUCUGCAACCCGACUCCACGAAGCUGGAUUCGCUAGUAAUCGCGCAUCAGCCAUGGCGCGGUGAAUACGUUCCCGGGCCUUGUACACACCGCCCGUCAAGCCAUGAAAGCCGGGGGCGCCUGAAGUCCGUUGGGCGCGAGGAUCGGCCUAGGUUUAAAACUGGUG
rnacentral:rRNA from 1 species